rnacentral:tRNA from 1 species
GGAGAUUUUGCUCAGUGGUAGAGCGCUUGCCUAGCAAGCACAAGGCCCUGGGUUCGGUCCCCAGCUCCG